GGAACAGUGAAGUGUGGAAACACCUUCAGCGAUGCUUUUGCGCUGAAAAACAACUGAAGUGUCCGAGCGCAAAGCCAAGGACCAGUACCUUCGGAAAAGUGGCCCUGAGAUGUCAGGGGCCGCCGAAGUCCAUACUGUCUGACCUUACACUUACUGAGAGGUGAGCUAAGGUUUCUACUGCGGUGAUGAAACACCAUAACCAAGAGCACCUUGGAGAAGAGAAAGUUUUCUUCAGCCCACCACUGUAGGUCACAGUCCAGCACCAAGGGACGUUAAAGCAGGAACUCAAGGAAGGAAGCUGGAGAUGACUUCAGCUUCUGUCAAGCGGACAUAAAACCAACCAGGAUAGUUUUCAACAUGUGGCAUAGUUUUCCAUGAGAACAUAUCGCUGGCUCAUUAAGAAGGUAAAUAAGAACCUUCUAGAAGCAAUUUCCCUGAAGUAGCAAAGGACAAAGUCAGACUAUAGGCAGAGGGUAGUGGGAAGUAGCAGUAAAAAUUA